rnacentral:rRNA from 1 species
UACAGAGGGUGCAAGCGUUGUUCGGAAUCAUUGGGCGUAAAGCGCGUGUAGGUGGCCAUCUAAGUCUGGUGUGAAAGCCCAGGGCUUAACCCUGGAAGUGCACUGGAUACUGGGUGGCUAGAGGACGAGAGAGGAUAAUGGAAUUAAUGGUGUAGGGGUGAAAUCCGUAGAUAUCAUUAGGAACAUCUGUGGCGAAGGCGAUUAUCUGGCUCGUUUCUGACACUGAGACGCGAAAGCGUGGGGAGCAAACAGG